GUCCCAUCUCUAUACUCUGCCUUCACCUUCUCUCAGGGUGUCCAGAUCCUGGUCUUUCCAGAAGUUGGUCUUCAAGGUUAAGACUUCAGCUGUUCAUCCAUCUCUGGCUACCUAGAAACCAUUCCUGACGCCCAGCGGGGGAGCUGGAACCUCUGCACGGAGCCGGGCACACACAACAACACGGAGGUGCACAAUCAUACUUUUACAUUUGAUGUUGGUAAAGCCUACUGACCUGGUUGUGUUCUGCAGCGGUUGAGCUGAAUGGCCUGUUGCAAUAACAUCUACCCAACAUGGCUGACCUGCAUCCCUGCCCCCUGAAGACCAACCCCUUCCCAUCCUCUCCCUCUGAUGGACGCUGACAAUUCAACACCAAUGUCCAGGUCAGACAUCCUGCUGGUGGCACGCUACCACAAACAAAACCUCUUCUUUGAGGAGUCCUUUGACAGUCCGCCCCAACCAGAGAUCAUAACAUUUGACAUGCCUUUUGCUGGGAGGUUUGGCAAAACAGUCAUUUAAAUUCUGUACCUGACUCUA